CACUUGGAUUAGCAAUAUACGUUCGGUAUGAUUCCGUGUUUGGAAACAUAGAUAUACAGGCAUUGCUGUCGGAGUUCAGAAUAGCAGACCAAACACUGACCAGAGCACUCAAAAUGUUUUCCAUUGUUGUUGUUACUUUUUCAUCUGCGUCGAUUGUUCUCUUGAUAUACUCAGUUGGUUCUAUGGUCUCACCUAAAUGGAAAAGGCUGCUGUUGUUUAUUAAUGUAGGAUUGUGGAGUAUUAUAACAGUGGCAAACCUAGUUCAAAUUGGCUUGUGGAAGGAGUUUAUGUCACAGACAGACACGUAUAUAGAACACCGGAUAAGUAUAGAAUUCGUAAACAGCCAUAACACCUAUAUGUUUUCACAUGCGUCAGGACACUACGACAGGGAAACAUCGCUCUCUUGGAAUACAUUAUUUG